GACGAACGCUGGCGGCGUGCUUAACACAUGCAAGUCGAACGAAGUGGCGAACGGGUGAGUAACGCGUAAUCAACCUGCCCUUCAGGGGGGGACAAUAGUUGGAAACGACUGCUAAUCCCGCAUACUGAAGGAGGGGUUUGCGUUUGAUUUGCUAGCUGGAGGGGUAACGGCCCACCAAGGCGAUGGUCAGUAGCCGGGCGGAGGAGGUGAACGGCCAAAUUGGGACUGGGGCACGGCCCAGAAUCCUACGGGAGGCAGCAGUGGGGAAAUUUCCGAAAUGGAGGGAAGUCUGGCGGCGCAAAGCCGCGUGGGAGAGGAAGGCCUUCGGGUUGGAAAGCUCUGUUAAUCGGGACGCGGUACCGGAAUAGAAAGCAACGGCUAACUACGUGCCAGCAGCCGCGGUAAUUC
rnacentral:rRNA from 1 species